AUUAGUAGUGUUUUUUUUUUGUUUUCUUGGCAUAUUUUAUGCAUAAAAGAUUGAUAUUGGGGAUAGUUUUGUCUGUAACUCUUGUUUCUGUAUAUUUUAAAAUUGGAUGCACAGAAGUUAUGCUAUACCCAGGGUCCAAAAAGAAAACCGCAGCCCCCUUACCUAAACCUGUACCUGUACGUGAACCAGUAACUUAAGAGAAAGCUGUAUAGUUGCAUACAACUUAUUUCUCUCUUUUUAUUGCCGAGGAUGUAAUAUAUUGUCUUUGUCAAAAAUAAUACUCGGAGGUCUUACCGAAACCUGUAAGCUUUUUUAGAGACCACAUUCAGAUUGGCUGUGCUGUUGCUAUUAUCUUUGCAGUUCUGCUUGUUACUAAAAUGGUAGUUUACUUUCUUUGUUCAAUCUUCUCCAAUUUCCUGUUGAACAGCAUCUCUUUUGUUGAAUCCGUCAAGGAAAGGUAGAGCAUCUCUUUUUAUCAAAAAGGUAAUGUCUUCUUCUCAAAGGCUGUUAUAGAAAGAAUGCCCAUCUAACAAAACUGCUAUCUUAUGUCUAAAUUUGUGUAACUUAAAGUUAAGGAUUCAUGGAUAUAUCCUAUGUUUGUAACAACAAAUCUUAAUUCCCUGUAGCUGCAAAAGAGGAAUUUGAUGUGUGGACAGGAAAGAAGCUGACAAGAGCUUCAACUAAAUGGGACAGUGACCAAUAGAUGAAACUCCUCCAUUGGUUGAAGCAAUGUGGAAGGAAUUUCAAGGUGAUGGACAUGGAAGCUUACGAGGAGGACAUGAAUUAGUCAGACUAGCCUAUAAACAGGAUGAAGAGCCUAACACUAAAAAAGGGUGCAACAACAAGUUCUAGAAAGCAUUUGAGGGAUGUGGGGAAGGAACCUGUCCUAUUGGCUCGUGACACCUCCCGAUUAUUCAACAGUCCUAUGGAGAGAGAAGAAAUAGAGUGCAAUCACCUGUACCCCCGUUGACAACUGUUGUUGUAACCUUUUUCAGCAUAUGCAGAAGAGAAAAAGGAAAGGCAAUAUGCAGCUUGUGGAAGACGCUGCAACUGUGAAGAUGGGUUAAGGUGCCUUUUUGUUGGGACCAAUUUUUUUUUAUAAUGUUGGGGGUUUGAAAGUGGAUGAUUUGGCUGAAAGCCAUAUCAAUGAAGACCUGACUGAAAACCUUAUAGCUAAGGAACACAAGACUAAGGGUAUUCAGGUCCAAGUAGGUGCUGUUAAGGGCCAGGAAGGAAUUAAAACCUGGAGAAGCUAAGAGUGGGCACAUACAUGAUCACUGGAUGAGGUUUGCCAUUUCAGGAGUCAUUGAUUUCCAAAGAGUAGUUAUGUAGGAAGGAAGCAUGACAGCCAACAAAGACCUCCUCAUGCAGAGAACUCACAAUAGUUGCCAAUGCUCAGGUGCAGGCACCCGCCCAAGAAAAUGCAGCUUUCCAAUGGUAUGUUUUCUUCUUCAUUUUUGGUUCGUUUUUAUGGAGCUUAUGAUGGCUUGGAAUUCUGCUUUUGGUUUGUGGGGGCUCUCUUUUUUGUCUAGUUACCUUGAAGUGGAGGAAAAGAAAGAUAUGAAAUAUCAAAUAAGAAUAUUUUUGAGAGCUUA